UCUCUGUUGCAGGUCCAUCGAAUCCAAGUGCAAACAUUCGCUCUCCAAUUUGGUUAAAAUCUCAGCAUGCAACUGAUUUUCGACGGAGUUGAGUCAAUACAUUUAUUGAGACAUUCUGAUCUUUAUGAGAACUGGAAGAAGACGUUCGGAAGCAGUAGGCAGGACGCUGUGAGUGAAUGAAGAUGCGGUUCUCGCUCUGAUCAUUGGUAGGUGCUUGUAGAAACACAAGUUUCCUUGGGUCUGAAUGCUGCAUGAGAUUCUCAGAAAGGGUGACUGUUCUGAUCUCGCGAAGUGAGGCUGCAGUGGGAGGAGGAAUGAGGUGCCCAAGUGGGUCACUGUCAUUGAUUCGAGACUGCUGUUCCGUUACUUUACUCGAACAGCAGCUGCAAAAGUCGGCGACCGCCGCCGUUGUUCUGCGAUCUUCACUCUCGUUGUAUUCGUGGUGUCUACAACAUGGGUCUAUUUGCCUGAGCCCUGACUUCACACCGUGGAUCUAACCUAGCUUCAAGAUCCGCAGUCUUUCUCUCGACAAGAAAAAGCACUUUUCGCAUCAGGGGGGCUCAUGGAGCUUGAUCUCAGAAGCGAGGUGCACGGCUUCCUAUGUUUAUGUGAGAGUCCUUAAGAAGACCAUGAAGCUUCAGCAGCAAGCCCAUCCUCAUUUGUAGUCUCUACAGCCGAGUUCGUGUAAUCCCUGCAGGAAAUGUUCAGCUCUGCUGCAGUGCCACCACCAACUGCAAAUUCUGACAAACACGAGACAAAAGAGUUGCAAAUGAACGAGUGUGUUCCUUGAAAAAUGUUGGAUCGAAGAAGAUUGUACACGGUAUCAAGCAAUCCAGGUUGGAAGAAAACCCACGCGUCAUGUCGCAUUUUUUUGUUUUGUUUUGUUUUAUUUAAUUGUUCGUUUGUUUGUUUAAUUAGAUUGGAGACCAUGCUCUGAUCUUCUUUGUUGACUGUAUAGCAGUGUUGAAACUAGCAAGCACGAUCCAAGGAAAUGCUGCCCAUAAAGCAAUUGUUUCCUCAUUAAUUUUAGGAUUGAAAUGUCUGUGUUGUUAUCAAGAAGUUCCACGGCCUGAGAAACCUGUUCUUAUUACUCUCCACACUUGUCCAAAGGAUCAGAGACAGCAGUAAUGUGUGUAUUUAUAUAUAUAUAUAUAUAUAUAUAUAUAGAUAGAUAGAUAGAUAGUAGUGAGAGAUUAUGUUGAUGAGCCUAGAGACAAUCUUAAUCAAAUUCAAUUUAUUGGAAUUUGUUAUUGAAAGACAAACAAAAGAGAAAAAGAAUUACAAAACAAUUGUUAUGGUUUUGUUAAUAUAAUGAAAUGUGAAGGACAUUUCCUGAUUCAA